rnacentral:rRNA from 1 species
AGAGUUUGAUCAUGGCUCAGGAUGAACGCUGGCGGCGUGCCUAACACAUGCAAGUCGAGCGAGACGGUUAUGAUUGAUUCUUCGGAUGAGAGAUUAACUAGAAAGCGGCGGACGGGUGAGUAACGCGUGAGUAACCUGCCCCAUACACAGGGAUAGCCAUUGGAAACGAUGAUUAAUACCUGAUAACACAUAGACAUCACAUGUUGUUUAUGUCAAAGAUUUAUCGGUAUGGGAUGGACUCGCGUCUGAUUAGCUAGUUGGUAAGGUAACGGCUUACCAAGGCGACGAUCAGUAGCCGACCUGAGAGGGUGAUCGGCCACACUGGAACUGAGNCACGGUCCAGACUCCUACGGGAGGCAGCAGUGGGGAAUAUUGCACAAUGGGCGCAANCCUGAUGCAGCAACGCCGCGUGAACGAAGAAGGCCUUCGGGUNGUAAAGUUCUUUUCUUAGGGAAGAAAAAUGACGUACCUAAGAA